rnacentral:rRNA from 1 species
AACGUAGGUUCCGAGCGUUAUCCGGAUUUACUGGGCGUAAAGCGCGUUCAGGCGGUUUGGCAAGUCGGGCAUGAAAUCUCUCGGCUCAACCGGGAGAGGUUGUCCGAUACUUCCAGACUUGAGGGCAGUAGAGGGUGGUGGAAUUCCGGGUGUAGUGGUGAAAUGCGUAGAUAUCCGGAGGAACACCAGUGGCGAAAGCGGCCACCUGAACUGCACCUGACGCUGACACGCGAAAGCUAGGGGAGCGAACGGG